rnacentral:lncRNA from 10 species
AGAGCAGAUCUUGGACUGAGACCUACAGGACACAGUUGUAUGUGAACUAUGUUGAAAACAGGAUGCAUGACUGGCGGCCAGAACAAAGAAGUUUGGUUUAAUUUCUAUCUAUACACCCAGUAAAAUAUCUGUAAUACCACUGGAAAACCUUAAAAUACAUUAUCUAUUUCUUGUAAAAGAAUGAUGAAAUGUGAAUUUGAACAGCAUAAAUAUGUACAAGUAUCUCUUCUCAACGGAAAAAAUUAUGUUUGUGGAUGAAAUAUGAACCGAGUUUGUGGAUGAAAUAUGAGCAGCAUGAAUAUGCACAGAUAUCUCUCCUCAAUGGAAAAAAUCACGUACAAAAUAUAAGAACCCAGUUUGUGGAUGCGUGAAUAAUGAUAAAUUGAGGCCGGGCGCGGUGGCUCACGCCUGUAAUCCCAGCACUUUGGGAGGCUGAGAUGGGCGGAUGACCCGAGGUCCGGAGCUCAAAUCCAGCUCGACCAAUGCGGUGAAACCCCAUCUCUAGUAAAAAUACGAAAAUUAGCCGGGUGUGGUGGCGCAUGCCUGUAAUCCCAGCUACUCGGGAAGCUGAGGCAGGAGAAAUGCUUGAACCCUGGAGGUGGAGGUUAAUAGUGUGCCCAGAUCGCACGACUGCACUCCAGACUGGGUAACAGAGUGAGACUCCGCUUCAAAAAAACAAAAAACAAAGAAUAAUAAUAAUAACGAUAAAUCCUAUAUGUUACGGUAAAAAUCUUCAUGAGAACAAAUUUACUAUCAUUUUUUCUACUGAAUGGAUGAUCAUGAAAAGGAAUUUAUUUUUAUUUCGUAUGAUGGACUGAGCAUCAUGAAAAAAAAUACUACCUUUUGGAUUGUUGAACUUCCAUCCUGAGAAAUUUACUAUUGUGCUGCAUGCUGCAGUGAUGAUCUUGUGAUCUCAGCAAUGCCCAUGGGGCAAUUUACAUCGGGACUCGUUUCAUCUCUAGACCUUCACUUACCUGAGAAAGACAAGUGUCUUUUGAUAAAUAAAAUAUUGUUAAAUGCAAUGUUGCCUCAUGAUUUUUUUUUUCUUUUCCUUUUCCUUUUUUUUUUUUUUUUUAGAUGUAGUUUCACUCUUCUUGCCCAGGCUGGAGUGUAAUGGUGCGAUCUUGGCUCGCUGCAAUCUCUGUCUCCCAGGUUUAAGUGAUUCUCCUGCCUCAGCCUCCUGAGUAGUUGAGAUUACAGGUACACACC